rnacentral:rRNA from 1 species
GAUGAACGCUGGCGGCGUGCCUAAUACAUGCAAGUCGAGCGAACAGAUAAGGAGCCUGCUCCUUUGACGUUAGCGGCGGACGGGUGAGUAACACGUGGGUAACCUACCUAUAAGACUGGGAUAACUUCGGGAAACCGGAGCUAAUACCGGAUAACAUUUGGAACCGCAUGGUUCUAAAGUGAAAGAUGGUUUUGCUAUCACUUAUAGAUGGACCCGCGCCGUAUUAGCUAGUUGGUAAGGUAACGGCUUACCAAGGCGACGAUACGUAGCCGACCUGAGAGGGUGAUCGGCCACACUGGAACUGAGACACGGUCCAGACUCCUACGGGAGGCAGCAGUAGGGAAUCUUCCGCAAUGGGCGAAAGCCUGACGGAGCAACGCCGCGUGAGUGAUGAAGGGUUUCGGCUCGUAAAACUCUGUUAUUAGGGAAGAACAAACGUGUAAGUAACUAUGCACGUCUUGACGGUACCUAAUCAGAAAGCCACGGCUAACUACGUGCCAGCAGCCGCGGUAAUACGUAGGCGGCAAGCGUUAUCCGGAAUUAUUGGGCGUAAAGCGCGCGUAGGCGGUUUCUUAAGUCUGAUGUGAAAGCCCACGGCUCAACCGUGGAGGGUCAUUGGAAACUGGGAAACUUGAGUGCAGAAGAGGAAAGUGGAAUUCCAUGUGUAGCGGUGAAAUGCGCAGAGAUAUGGAGGAACACCAGUGGCGAAGGCGACUUUCUGGUCUGUAACUGACGCUGAUGUGCGAAAGCGUGGGGAUCAAACAGGAUUAGAUACCCUGGUAGUCCACGCCGUAAACGAUGAGUGCUAAGUGUUAGGGGGUUUCCGCCCCUUAGUGCUGCAGCUAACGCAUUAAGCACUCCGCCUGGGGAGUACGACCGCAAGGUUGAAACUCAAAGGAAUUGACGGGGACCCGCACAAGCGGUGGAGCAUGUGGUUUAAUUCGAAGCAACGCGAAGAACCUUACCAAAUCUUGACAUCCUUUGAAAACUCUAGAGAUAGAGCCUUCCCCUUCGGGGGACAAAGUGACAGGUGGUGCAUGGUUGUCGUCAGCUCGUGUCGUGAGAUGUUGGGUUAAGUCCCGCAACGAGCGCAACCCUUAAGCUUAGUUGCCAUCAUUAAGUUGGGCACUCUAGGUUGACUGCCGGUGACAAACCGGAGGAAGGUGGGGAUGACGUCAAAUCAUCAUGCCCCUUAUGAUUUGGGCUACACACGUGCUACAAUGGACAAUACAAAGGGCAGCUAAACCGCGAGGUCAUGCAAAUCCCAUAAAGUUGUUCUCAGUUCGGAUUGUAGUCUGCAACUCGACUACAUGAAGCUGGAAUCGCUAGUAAUCGUAGAUCAGCAUGCUACGGUGAAUACGUUCCCGGGUCU